rnacentral:misc_RNA from 1 species
ACAAACUUGGUCAUUUAGAGGAAGUAAAAGUCGUAACAAGGUUUCCGUAGGUGAACCUGCGGAAGGAUCAUUAACGAUUUCGGUUUACGCCGUUUUCUACCUUUGUCUAUGCGUACCACAUGUUUCCUCGGGGGGCUUGCCCCCCGUUAGGACUCAACAUCAACCUUUUGUAAUAGCAAUCAGCGUCUGAAAAUAAGUUAAUUAUUAAAACUUUCAACAAUGGAUCUCUUGGUUCUGGCAUCGAUGAAGAACGCAGC